GAAGUGUGUCGGGUGAUCGCCCCGAUGAUAUCGGGGAGGAAAGUCCGAACACCAUAGGGCAGCGAGCCGGAUAACGACCGGGCACCUUUGCAAAAGGGUGACGACAAGUGCAACAGAAAGUAAACCAGUCCCGACUCGUCGGGAUAAUGGGUGAAACGGUGAGGUAAGAGCUCACCGGCGUGUCUGGUAACAGAUGCGGCCAGGUAAACUCCUCGCGGUGCAAGGCCAAAUAGGGAAACGAGACCGAGCGGCCCGCUCGGGUGCCGAUAGGCGGCGUUUCCGGGUAGGCCGCUCGAGCCAUGUGGUAACGCAUGGCCUAGAUGAAUGAUCGCCUCCCGCCUCGGCGGAAGACAAGAUUCGGCUUAUAGACACGCUUCACUA
rnacentral:RNase_P_RNA from 1 species